rnacentral:ribozyme from 1 species
CCUUCUCUCGCGGGUGCUGCCAGAGUUGCACGCUGAGGUCUCAGAAAGCGCGCUCCACAUCGCGGCGAAUGCGGAGGGUGG